rnacentral:lncRNA from 1 species
UUCAGACAAGGAUAAGCUACCUAUAUCUAAAGAUUACACAUACAUACAUACACACACAUAUACUUGUGUAUAUAUAGAGAGGGAGACAGAGAGAAAGAAAGACAGACAGAGUCAUUGGAGUUUUAUUCCCUUUGAUAGAUUUCAAAAGUGGGACGGCUGGCCAAGAAGAUAUAAACACACAACUUUUCUAAACUGUUUUAUUACUUUUCACAUCCACCAGCAAUACAUGAAAGUAUCUGUUUGUCUAUCUCUUCUCUGCGUCUGGUUCCUAUUGCUAUUUUUUUUAGUUUUUGUCAAUUGAUGAGUGCAAAAUGACAUCUUAAUAUUAUUUAAUAACUCCUGAUGAGUAAAGAUGUAAAGGUAUUAAAGUAUAGAUGUUUACAUUUUUAUGUUCUACUAAAU